ACACAUGCAAGUCGAGGGGCAUCGGGAUUGAAGCUUGCUUCAAUUGCCGGCGACCGGCGCACGGGUGCGUAACGCGUAUGUAACCUACCUAUAACAGGGGCAUAACACUGAGAAAUUGGUACUAAUUCCCCAUAAUAUUCGGAGAGGCAUCUCUCCGGGUUGAAAACUCCGGUGGUUAUAGAUGGACAUGCGUUGUAUUAGCUAGUUGGUGAGGUAACGGCUCACCAAGGCAACGAUACAUAGGGGGACUGAGAGGUUAACCCCCCACACUGGUACUGAGACACGGACCAGACUCCUACGGGAGGCAGCAGUGAGGAAUAUUGGUCAAUGGACGCAAGUCUGAACCAGCCAUGCCGCGUGCAGGAAGACGGCUCUAUGAGUUGUAAACUGCUUUUGUACGAGGGUAAACUCACCUACGUGUAGGUGACUGAAAGUAUCGUACGAAUAAGGAUCGGCUAACUCCGUGCCAGCAGCCGCGGUAAUACGGAGGAUUCAAGCGUUAUCCGGAUUUAUUGGGUUUAAAGGGUGCGUAGGCGGUUUGAUAAGUUAGAGGUGAAAUCCCGGGGCUUAACUCCGGAACUGCCUCUAAUACUGUUAGACUAGAGAGUAGUUGCGGUAGGCGGAAUGUAUGGUGUAGCGGUGAAAUGCUUAGAGAUCAUACAGAACACCGAUUGCGAAGGCAGCUUACCAAACUAUAUCUGACGUUGAGGCACGAAAGCGUGGGGAGCAAACAGGAUUAGAUACCCUGGUAGUCCACGCAGUAAACGAUGAUAACUCGUUGUCGGCGAUACACAGUCGGUGACUAAGCGAAAGCGAUAAGUUAUCCACCUGGGGAGUACGUUCGCAAGAAUGAAACUCAAAGGAAUUGACGGGGGCCCGCACAAGCGGAGGAACAUGUGGUUU
rnacentral:rRNA from 1 species